UAGAGUUUGAUUAUGGCUCAGGAUGAACGCUGGCGGCGUGCUUAACACAUGCAAGUCGAACGGAAAGGCCCAAGCUUGCUUGGGUACUCGAGUGGCGAACGGGUGAGUAACACGUGGGUGAUCUGCCCUGCACUUCGGGAUAAGCCUGGGAAACUGGGUCUAAUACCGGAUAGGACGAUGGUUUGGAUGCCAUUGUGGAAAGUUUUUUCGGUGUGGGAUGAGCUCGCGGCCUAUCAGCUUGUUGGUGGGGUAAUGGCCUACCAAGGCGUCGACGGGUAGCCGGCCUGAGAGGGUGUACGGCCACAUUGGGACUGAGAUACGGCCCAGACUCCUACGGGAGGCAGCAGUGGGGAAUAUUGCACAAUGGGCGCAAGCCUGAUGCAGCGACGCCGCGUGGGGGAUGACGGCCUUCGGGUUGUAAACUCCUUUCGCUAGGGACGAAGCGUUUUGUGACGGUACCUGGAGAAGAAGCACCGGCUAACUACGUGCCAGCAGCCGCGGUAAUACGUAGGGUGCGAGCGUUGUCCGGAAUUACUGGGCGUAAAGAGGUCGUAGGUGGUUUGUCGCGUCGUUUGUGUAAGCCCGCAGCUUAACUGCGGGACUGCAGGCGAUACGGGCAUAACUUGAGUGCUGUAGGGGAGACUGGAAUUCCUGGUGUAGCGGUGGAAUGCGCAGAUAUCAGGAGGAACACCGAUGGCGAAGGCAGGUCUCUGGGCAGUAACUGACGCUGAGGAGCGAAAGCAUGGGGAGCGAACAGGAUUAGAUACCCUGGUAGUCCAUGCCGUAAACGGUGGGCGCUAGGUGUGAGUCCCUUCCACGGGGUUCGUGCCGUAGCUAACGCAUUAAGCGCCCCGCCUGGGGAGUACGGCCGCAAGGCUAAAACUCAAAUGAAUUGACGGGG
rnacentral:rRNA from 1 species